GACGAACGCUGGCGGCGUGCUUAACACAUGCAAGUCGAACGGAAAGGCCCUGCUGUUGUUGGGUGCUCGAGUGGCGAACGGGUGAGUAACACGUGAGUAACCUGCCCUUUACUUUGGGAUAACUUCAGGAAACUGGGGCUAAUACCGGAUAGGAGCUCCUGCUGCAUGGUGGGGGUUGGAAAGUUUCGGCGGUUGGGGAUGGACUCGCGGCUUAUCAGCUUGUUGGUGGGGUAGUGGCUUACCAAGGCUUUGACGGGUAGCCGGCCUGAGAGGGUGACCGGCAACAUUGGGACUGAGAUAGGGCCAAGACUCCUACGGGAGGCAGAAGUGGGGAAUAUUGAACAAUGGGCGGAAGCCUGAUGCAGCAACGCCGCGUGCGGGAUGACGGCCUUCGGGUUGUAACCCGCUUUCGCAUGUGACGAAGCGUGAGUGACGGUAAUGGGUAAAGAAGCACCGGCUAACUACGUG
rnacentral:rRNA from 1 species